GACGGAGGAUGCAAGUGUUAUCCGGAAUCACUGGGCGUAAAGCGUCUGUAGGUGGUUUAAUAAGUCAACUGUUAAAUCUUGAGGCUCAACUUCAAAAUCGCAGUCGAAACUAUUGGACUCGAGUAUAGUAGGGGUAAAGGGAAUUUCCAGUGGAGCGGUGAAAUGCGUAGAGAUUGGAAAGAACACCAAUGGCGAAAGCACUUUACUGGGCUAUUACUGACACUGAGAGACGAAGCUAGGGUAGCAAAUGGG
rnacentral:rRNA from 1 species